rnacentral:ribozyme from 1 species
UGCCCAGCAACUCCUAUCCCUACCUCCUCGUGGUACUAGCCGGGGUACGAGCAACCUUAGGGAAGA